rnacentral:rRNA from 1 species
AGUGAACGCUGGCGGUAGGCUUAACACAUGCAAGUCGAACGGCAGCACAGUAAGAGCUUGCUCUUACGGGUGGCGAGUGGCGGACGGGUGAGGAAUACAUCGGAAUCUACUUUUUCGUGGGGGAUAACGUAGGGAAACUUACGCUAAUACCGCAUACGACCUACGGGUGAAAGCAGGGGAUCUUCGGACCUUGCGCGAUUGAAUGAGCCGAUGUCGGAUUAGCUAGUUGGCGGGGUAAAGGCCCACCAAGGCGACGAUCCGUAGCUGGUCUGAGGAUGAUCAGCCACACUGGAACUGAGACACGGUCCAGACUCCUACGGGAGGCAGCAGUGGGGAAUAUUGGACAAUGGGCGCAAGCCUGAUCCAGCCAUACCGCGUGGGUGAAGAAGGCCUUCGGGUUGUAAAGCCCUUUUGUUGGGAAAGAAAAGCAGCAGGUUAAUACCCCGCUGUUCUGACGGUACCCAAAGAAUAAGCACCGGCUAACUUCGUG